CAAAUCAUAUCAUUAUAGUUGAUAUUAUUAUUUACAAUAAUACUUUGAUUGUGCAAUUCAAUCUGGUUUGA
rnacentral:tRNA from 1 species